rnacentral:rRNA from 1 species
UACGUAGGGGGCAAGCGUUGUCCGGAUUUAUUGGGCGUAAAGAGCGUGUAGGCGGCCAAACAGGUCCACUGUGAAAACUCGAGGCUCAACCUCGAGAGGUCGGUGGAAACCGUCUGGCUAGAGUCCGGAAGAGGAGAGUGGAAUUCCCGGUGUAGCGGUGAAAUGCGCAGAUAUCGAGAGGAACACCUGAGGUGAAGACGGGUUGCUGGGCCGACACUGACGCUGACAGCGCGAAAGCCAGGGGAGCAAACGGG